GUACAUUCCUAGCUUGCUAGGAGAUGACGAGCGGCGGACGGGCUGAGUAAGCUUGGGAAUAUGCCUUAUGGUGGGGGACAACAGUUGGAAACGACUGCUAAUACCGCAUAACGUCUACGGACCAAAGGAGGGGAUCUUCGGACCUUUCGCCAUUUGAUUAGCCCAAGUGAGAUUAGCUAGUUGGUGAGGUAAUGGCUCACCAAGGCGACGAUCUCUAGCUGGUUUGAGAGGAUGAUCAGCCACACUGGGACUGAGACACGGCCCAGACUCCUACGGGAGGCAGCAGUGGGGAAUAUUGCACAAUGGGCGAAAGCCUGAUGCAGCCAUGCCGCGUGUGUGAAGAAGGCCUUCGGGUUGUAAAGCACUUUCAGUUGUGAGGAAAGGGAUGUAGUUAAUAACUGCAUUCUGUGACGUUAACAACAGAUGAAGCACCGGCUAACUUCGUGCCAGCAGCCGCGGUAAUACGAGGGGUGCAAGCGUUAAUCGGAAUUACUGGGCGUAAAGCGUUCGUAGGCGGUUGAAUAAGCAAGAUGUGAAAGCCCAGGGCUCA
rnacentral:rRNA from 1 species